rnacentral:tRNA from 4 species
GGUCCGGUAGCUCAGCUGGAUAGAGCAUCAGCCUUCUAAGCUGAGGGUCCCAGGUUCGAAUCCUGGUCGGAUCA